UUGCAGUUUUCUGAAUAUAGGCUUCUGGUAAAGCUGCAAUAUAGAAAAAUGGCUAAAUAUUACAGCUUUGUAUUAUUGGUUGUUACAAAGAUGUACUGUAGACUGUAGGUCUGUUGAAUCGUCAAUAGCAUCCUAUCUCUCUCUUUCUUUUUUUUUGUUUUUGUUGUUGUUUCUUUCAUUCCGAUUACACUCAAAGGCAGCAUGAGGCCCGCUGCCUGUAACCGGAAGUUUGCAACAGGUGUAGUAUUAGCAUCCACUGAACACCUAUGUACCAUGGAUAGUGCUGCUAGGCUUGACUCUCUUCCUUUUCCUCACUAGAUGCCAAGGACAGUGGGACAGGUGUUCCAGAAAAAUCAGAAAGUCACCGGAAUGAAUCAGUCAUUUUCACUACGUCCCAGUGUGACCCUGGAAGGGAUUCCUAAUUCUAUUGCCAGUGCAGAGCGCAGUCUGGUAUAUGACUAUUGGGACAGAGGCAUGAGAAUAAAUUGCCAUCCUGUUCCAGGAGCAGUUUGACGAUCUCGGCCCGGCCGUGUUCGCUCGCACACAUCAGUGCUGUGGAGCCUUCAUCGUCCUGCACAUUCACAUCUGCACCACAUUCCAGCAGUGCCCUGACCAUCUCCUGACGACCGUGGCUCACAGCUAGCAUCAGUGCUGUUUGACCAGCCUGCAAAAUUAGAGAGAGCAGCCAGCAUAAUGGCUGUAUAGCCUGCCUUGUUCUGCUGGUCCACAUGACACACCCCUGCAGAGUACAUGCUUCUGUUACUGUGGCACGUUGUCCAACUGAAUGAUGCUGCUUUAGAGCUGUAGCCAUCUGCUCCCUUACUGUCUGCAGUUGGCUGGGAGGGAUCGGAGUCACUGCUGACCCUGCAGCUGGUGUACUGUGCCCAGAGGUCUGAGGACUGGGUUUAGACCAGCUACUGUGUAGGAGCUGAGGGGAUGGUGAGGAUAAGAGCUGUUUUGGAGGAUCUGCAAGCUGGAAUCUUCCACCAUUCUGAUGCAGGUCAUCAGUAAACAACUCGUGCAGCUGGAGUUCAGGCUGAUAACCCGGUUACAGCUCCAGACAGCCCUGUAAGAGAGAAAGACAAAGGUCGUCAAAGACCCUGCAAACGAACAGGAACAGCACCAGGCGGCUGGAGCAAAAUCCUAAUCCUUCGUGUUUUUGUACUUGGGGAGGAAACCAGAGUACUUGGAGAGGGCAAAACAUGCAAAUUUCAUACAGACAGGCAGGAAAUGGAACAAGAUCUUCGGGCUGUAAGGCAAGUACACUAACUUCACAUUGAAGCACCGAAUGCAUGCAGCAGAUAAACGUGGUUUUUAGGUUUGCUGGGUUUGCAUUAUGCACAUUAAACUACAGUGUCCUUCACAGUCUGGGACAAACAAAAAGAAAACAACUUAUCUAAAAUGUCUGAACGUGUUUCCCUGAGAACAUCAAGCAGAACGAUUUCAUUAUUCAAUCACUUGUUCCUUUACAUUUAGUAGGAGCAUGUGACUUCCUUGACAACUGCCAAGAGCAGAGAGAGUGCCGUGAUGAUACUAAAGAAGAUGUGGGCAGGGAGUUGUGCUGUUUCAUGGAAAAGAAUAUGAGCUGGUCUGAGGCUGGGGCCAUGUUCUCAGACUGUGACCUCACCGCCGAUGCCACACGUUUUUUAAGGAGAGGCGGGGAGAGGGAGAGACAGGCAGUCUGAAUGCCAACAUCUUCUCUCACUGACAACAACUUUCUGACCACUUUACAUGAGAAAAAAGGGCCCAUUCAGAAAUCUGGUGGAACUCGGAAACAGAGACAUGAAUCACAAGCAGAGGCCUCCACUCCUAUAGCCAUACCAUGCAGGGUACAGCUGUCACCUUAGAUCCUAGGUUUUAACUAGGUUUAACUGAUGGUUGUUAGUGUAUUCAGCAGUUUGGACACUCCACUCAGUUUUUUUCUCAUUUCCCUCUAUUUUAAAAUAAUUUGCCAUGUUUCUGUGUAAUUAUGAUCCCCAGUAGAAAUAAAUAAUAAAAUAAGACACUAAAUUAGAAUCA